rnacentral:rRNA from 1 species
AACGAACGCUGGCGGCGUGGAUAAGACAUGCAAGUCGAACGCUUGUUAUGGGGUAGCAAUAUUCUAUAGCAGGAGUGGCGGAAGGGUGCGUAACAUGUGGGUAAUCUGCCGUGAAGACAGGGAUAACUUGCUGAAAGGCGAGCUAAUACCGGAUGAGAUAACCAGGAGGCAGCUUUUGGUUAUCAAAGUUGGGGACUGUAAAAGGCCUAACGCUUCAUGAUGAGCCCGCAACCUAUCAGCUAGUUGGUGAGGUAAAGGCUCACCAAGGCUAAGACGGGUAGCUGGUCUGAGAGGACGACCAGCCACACUGGGAACUGAGAGACGGUCCAGACACCUACGGGUGGCA